AGCAGCCGCGGUAAUUCCAGCUCCAAUAGCGUAUAUUAAAGUUGCUGCAGUUAAAAAGCUCGUAGUUGAAUUUCGGGACCAUCAUGUCGGUCGUGCCUCGGUACGUACUGGCAUCGUUGGUUUCUCCCUUCUGACGAACCAUGAUGUCAUUAAUUUGGUGUCAUGGGGAAUCAGGACUGUUACUUUGAAAAAAUUAGAGUGUCUAAAGCAGGCUCACGCUUGAAUACAUUAGCAUGGAAUAAUGAAAUAGGACGUUUGAUUCUAUUUUGUUGGUUUCUAGGAUCGACGUAAUGAUUAAUAGGGAUAGUUGGGGGCAUUAGUAUUCAAUUGUCAGAGGUGAAAUUCUUGGAUUUAUUGAAGACUAACUACUGCGAAAGCAUUUGCCAAGGAUGUUUUCAUUAAUCAAGAACGAAAGUUAGGGGAUCGAAGACGAUCAGAUACCGUCGUAGUCUUAACCAUAAACUAUGCCGACUAGGGAUCGGAUGAUGUUAAUUUUUUAAUGACUCAUUCGGCGCCUUACG
rnacentral:rRNA from 1 species